rnacentral:rRNA from 1 species
CCUACGUGAGGCAGCAGUGGGGAAUAUUGCACAAUGGGGGAAACCCUGAUGCAGCGACGCCGCGUGAGUGAAGAAGUAAUUCGUUAUGUAAAGCUCUAUCAGCAGGGAAGAAAAUGACGGUACCUGAGUAAGAAGCCCCGGCUAACUACGUGCCAGCAGCCGCGGUAAUACGUAGGGGGCACGCGUUAUCCGGAUUUACUGGGUGUAAAGGGAGCGUAGACGGCAGUGCAAGUCUGGAGUGAAAGGCGGGGGCUCAACCCCCGGACUGCUCUGGAAACUGUACGGCUGGAGUGCAGGAGAGGUAAGUGGAAUUCCUAGUGUAGCGGUGAAAUGCGUAGAUAUUAGGAGGAACACCAGUGGCGAAGGCGGCUUACUGGACUGUAACUGACGUUGAGGCUCGAAAGCGUGGGGAGCAAACAGGAUUAGAUACCCGAGUAGUC